UACGGAGGGGGCUAGCGUUGUUCGGAAUUACUGGGCGUAAAGCGCACGUAGGCGGCUUUGUAAGUUAGAGGUGAAAGCCCGGGGCUCAACUCCGGAAUUGCCUUUAAGACUGCAUCGCUCGAAUUGUGGAGAGGUAAGUGGAAUUCCGAGUGUAGAGGUGAAAUUCGUAGAUAUUCGCAAGAACACCAGUGGCGAAGGCGGCUCACUGGCCCGGUACUGACGCUGAGGUGCGAAAGCGUGGGGAGCAAACAGG
rnacentral:rRNA from 1 species